rfam:Helianthus annuus linkage group 11, whole genome shotgun sequence.
UCACUUACCUGGAUGGGGUCAAUGGGUGAUAAGAAAGCCCAUGGCCUAGGUUAGUGUCCUCCAUUGCACUUAGGAGGGGUGCUACCCUAAGAUCGGCCCAAGUGGUUAAGUCUACAUCAUAAUUUGUGGCAGUGGAGGCCUGCGUUCGUGUGGCUUCUAC